rnacentral:rRNA from 1 species
GCCUACGGGGGGCAGCAGUGAGGAAUAUUGGUCAAUGGCCGCAGGGCUGAACCAGCCAAGUCGCGUGAAGGAUGACGGUCCUAUGGAUUGUAAACCUCCUUUGUCAGGGAACAAAGGCGGGGACUAGUCCCCGGAUGAGGGUACCUGAAGAAAAAGCAUCGGCUAACUCCGUGCCAGCAGCCGCGGUAAUACGGAGGAUGCGAGCGUUAUCCGGAUUUAUUGGGUUUAAAGGGUGCGCAGGCGGCCUGUUAAGUCAGCGGUAAAAGCCCGGGGCUCAACCCCGGCGAGCCGUUGAAACUGGCGGG